rnacentral:sRNA from 2 species
GUAUAAUAAAUUAAGUAGAGAAGUUAAGGCGGUGGCGAAACUGGAAGAAGGUGGUGCCUAUGGUGUAAUCAUCAUAGAUAACCGGAAACCUAACGAAAGGAGUAGCCAUGUUGUCCAUUACGGACGCAUUACAGCUAAUGUUAUUGUUUGGUACAUUGAUUAUCAAUCUAAUA